rnacentral:rRNA from 1 species
AGCGAACGACGAGGAGCUUGCUCCUCUGACGUUAGCGGCGGACGGGUGAGUAACACGUGGAUAACCUACCUAUAAGACUGGGAUAACUUCGGGAAACCGGAGCUAAUACCGGAUAAUAUAUUGAACCGCAUGGUUCAAUAGUGAAAGACGGUUUUGCUGUCACUUAUAGAUGGAUCCGCGCCGCAUUAGCUAGUUGGUAAGGUAACGGCUUACCAAGGCAACGAUGCGUAGCCGACCUGAGAGGGUGAUCGGCCACACUGGAACUGAGACACGGUCCAGACUCCUACGGGAGGCAGCAGUAGGGAAUCUUCCGCAAUGGGCGAAAGCCUGACGGAGCAACGCCGCGUGAGUGAUGAAGGUCUUCGGAUCGUAAAACUCUGUUAUUAGGGAAGAACAAAUGUGUAAGUAACUAUGCACGUCUUGACGGUACCUAAUCAGAAAGCCACGGCUAACUACGUGCCAGCAGCCGCGGUAAUACGUAGGUGGCAAGCGUUAUCCGGAAUUAUUGGGCGUAAAGCGCGCGUAGGCGGUUUUUUAAGUCUGAUGUGAAAGCCCACGGCUCAACCGUGGAGGGUCAUUGGAAACUGGAAAACUUGAGUGCAGAAGAGGAAAGUGGAAUUCCAUGUGUAGCGGUGAAAUGCGCAGAGAUAUGGAGGAACACCAGUGGCGAAGGCGACUUUCUGGUCUGUAACUGACGCUGAUGUGCGAAAGCGUGGGGAUCAAACAGGAUUAGAUACCCUG